GUAUGUGUGUGUGUGUGUGUGUGUCUCUGUAUGUAUGUGUCUGUAUGAUACAGACACAUACAUACAGAGACACACACAUACAGACAC